GACGAACGCUGGCGGCGUGCUUAACACAUGCAAGUCGAACGGAAAGGCCCUGCUUUUGUGGGGUGCUCGAGUGGCGAACGGGUGAGUAACACGUGAGUAACCUGCCCUUGACUUUGGGAUAACUUCAGGAAGCUGGGGCUAAUACCGGAUAGGAGCUCCUGCUGCAUGGUGGGGGUUGGAAAGUUUCGGCGGUUGGGGAUGGACUCGCGGCUUAUCAGCUUGUUGGUGGGGUAGUGGCUUACCAAGGCUUUGACGGGUAGCCGGCCUGAGAGGGUGACCGGCCACAUUGGGACUGAGAUACGGCCCAGACUCCUACGGGAGGCAGCAGUGGGGAAUAUUGCACAAUGGGCGGAAGCCUGAUGCAGCAAAGCCGCGUGCGGGAUGACGGCCUUCGGGUUGUAAACCGCUUUCGCCUGUGACGAAGCGUGAGUGACGGUAAUGGGUAAAGAAGCACCGGCUAACUACGUG
rnacentral:rRNA from 1 species